rnacentral:misc_RNA from 1 species
UCGCGGGGCCCAACCUCCCACCCGUGUCUACCGUACCAUGUUGCUUCGGCGGGCCCGCCGCAAGGCCGCCGGGGGGGCACCCGCCCCCCGGGCCCGCGCCCGCCGGAGACCUCAACACGAACACUGUCUGAAUUAGUGGCGUCUGAGUCUAAGUACAAAUAAGUUAAAACUUUCAACAAUGGAUCUCUUGGUUCCGGCAUCGAUGAAGAACGCAGCGAAAUGCGAUAAGUAAUGUGAAUUGCAGAAUUCAGUGAAUCAUCGAGUCUUUGAACGCACAUUGCGCCCCCUGGUAUUCCGGGGGGCAUGCCUGUCCGAGCGUCAUUGCUGCCCUCCAGCCCGGCUGGUGUGUUGGGCCGCCGUCCCCCCCGGGGGACGGGCCCGAAAGGCAGUGGCGGCGCCGCGUCCGGUCCCCGAGCGUAUGGGGCUCUGUCACCCGCUCCGUGGGCACCGGCCGGCUGCCGGCCUCGACCAUCUUCCUUUUUUUUCCAAGGUUGACCUCGGAUCAGGUAGGGAUACCCGCUGAACUUAAGCAUAUCA